rnacentral:rRNA from 1 species
UACGGGGGGGGCAAGCGUUGUUCGGAAUUACUGGGCGUAAAGGGCUCGUAGGUGGCCGACUAAGUCAGACGUGAAAAUCCCUCGGCUUAACCGGGGAACUGCGUCUGAUACUGGAUGGCUUGAGUUUGGGAGAGGGACGCGGAAUUCCAGGUGUAGCGGUGAAAUGCGUAGAUAUCUGGAGGAACACCGGUGGCGAAGGCGGCGUCCUGGACCAACACUGACACUGAGGAGCGAAAGCCAGGGGAGCAAACGGG